UGAAUAAGGUUCGUGAGCUUAGUCAAAGCUAGAAAAUGUGAAAGCAGAACAAGCUUUAGAAAGAGAAAAGUCUCAGAAAGAGCUAAAGCAGCUAAAUGCAGAAAAUGCCAAGUUCCAAUAUCGUAUAACACAUCUUGUUUGAGCACUAAAGGAUGCUGAUUGUAUGUUACAAUCUAAGUGAGGGACUUUUGGGACUUAGCUCCAUUUAUCUCUAUCAAGUUGGAAUA